GCCAUUGUUGUGUAGUGGUUUGAAUAUUGGACUACAGGUCCGAAGACCAGGGUUCAAAUUCUUGCUCAGCCA